rnacentral:rRNA from 1 species
UUGCAGGCUGCAACUCGCCUGCAUGAAGUUGGAAUUGCUAGUAAUCGCGAAUCAGAAUGUCGCGGUGAAUACGUUCCCGGGCCCUUGUACACACCGCCCGUCACACCAUGAGAGUCGAUAACACCCGAAGCCUGUGAGCUAACCGCAAGGAGGCAGCAGUCGAAGGUGGGGUUGAUGAUUGGGGUGAAGUCGUAACAAGGUAAC